CUCCCUCAACUAGUCCACUACCCUUUAGCUCAUGCACUCCCACGUAGCCCUUCCAUUGGCACACCAGUUUACUAUUGUACAAAUGUGCUCCUCCUCCAAUGCCUUUAUGUCUUCCAUUAAUCCCUACACAUUCUUCAAGCAAAAAGGUUGGGUAUCCUCUUAAGAAACACCGCCUGCAACUCUUCGAGGUAAAUUAUUUCCCCCAGGGGUAGUUGGUGUGGUCCAUCAUUUCCUACUUCCUUGCUACCUUCUACUUCCAUUGCCACUUGAUAUUGGCUAAUUAAGUGGCAGACCAUCACCCACCACACUUGUGUGCACUAUAAGAUGCUUCCCAUCUUUAAGAGCAGGAAAGGCAUUCAUAAAAUUGCAAUCAAAACAGCCAUAAAUUAUUGCAACAGGCAUUUCUCACUACGUUCCCUAUCUUAAUACCUUGAUUCAACUACCACUUGAAAAAAAUGUUGGAUCCGUGUCUAGAAUCCCAUUCUUCCAUCUACCAAAAUGAUAAUUCAUGUUCUUUACAUAACCACUAUGUUACGUUCCCUAUCUUAAUACCUUGAUUCAACUACCACUUGAAAAAAAUGUUGGAUCCGUGUCUAGAAUCCCAUUCUUCCAUCUACCAAAAUGAUAAUUCAUGUUCUUUACAUAACCACUAUGUCCCUG
rnacentral:lncRNA from 1 species